CCUACGGGAGGCAGCAGUGGGGAAUAUUGGACAAUGGGGGGAACCCUGAUCCAGCCAUGCCGCGUGUGUGAAGAAGGCCCUCGGGUUGUAAAGCACUUUCAGUGAGGAAGAACGCCUGGUGGUUAAUACCCAUUAGGAAAGACAUCACUCACAGAAGAAGCACCGGCUAACUCCGUGCCAGCAGCCGCGGUAAUACGGAGGGUGCGAGCGUUAAUCGGAAUUACUGGGCGUAAAGCGCGCGUAGGUGGCUUGAUAAGCCGGUUGUGAAAGCCCCGGGCUCAACCUGGGAACGGCAUCCGGAACUGUCAAGCUAGAGUGCAGGAGAGGAAGGUAGAAUUCCCGGUGUAGCGGUGAAAUGCGUAGAGAUCGGGAGGAAUACCAGUGGCGAAGGCGGCCUUCUGGACUGACACUGACACUGAGGUGCGAAAGCGUGGGUAGCAAACAGGAUUAGAUACCCUAGUAGUC
rnacentral:rRNA from 1 species